AGAGAAAGAUUUAUUUUGGCUCACAAUUGUGGAGUCCAUAAUCAGUCUGUCUCAUUUGGGUCUGGCAGGAGUACGCUGGGGAGCAAAACUGCUCACCUCAGAGUCAGGAGGGGAAAAAGAAGAUACUGGGCCCCACAAUCCCCUUGGAGGGAUCCCUCCAGUGACCUGAGGACCUCCUACCAGGCCCACUACCUCCACCGCAGCAUUCUGGCGACCAAGCUUUCAUGUGUGACAGUGCAGAUCCAAACUACAGCAGUGUGUGAGUUACAUCUCAAUAAAACUGAAAGGAAAAGAAGGAAGGAGAAAAGAACUACCCAGACCACUAUGGCAGAAAAGUGGCCAUCAGAGGUCAUCAGGAGAUGUGUCCAUACAGGGGCUCCUUUGAGCAACUGGCCUUGGCAAGUUUCUCCCCAUUGUUAGAGCCUCAAAUGAGGGUCACUUACGACACGACAGGAAGGGAGUUAAUGCUAGCACCAAGUGACAACCAUACUCAGGUAAUGGACAAUAUGACCUAUCCAGAUUCUUCAUAUUGUUCCCAACUGGUGUUUUGCUAAUCAAAGUAGAACAAGCCUACAGAAAGAAAC
rnacentral:lncRNA from 1 species